CUCAAUCUACAAUCAAAACCAUUAGAAUUGAUGGAGAUUGGAGAGGCUAGACAGAGUACCAACUCAAAAUCACCACUCAUUUAACAGAGAAAAGUAUUUGGGUAGUAAGAAAUGAAUUUAGCCACAAUUCAAAACACAGACAUGAAGAACAGAAGAAGCAAGUACAUUGCAAUUUCAGCAACUAUUAUUUUUGUGUUCAAGAUCAAUAUGAAAACAAGAAAUUAUUGGAAACCAAAGCAAAAGAAAUACAUUUGAGUAUUCGAAAAGACAGGCAGGGACAAAACAAUAUCAAAUUUCUAAAGGGUUAAUAAUAGAAGAAUGAAAAUCUAAAUCUUUUGUCCAAUUUACAGUUAUGGCCAAUUCUUUUAACUGACACAUAAGCAUAUUUGAGUAGAACAGAG
rnacentral:misc_RNA from 1 species